AUCCAGCUGACGAGUCCCGACAAGGGUGAAAUGCGCGUCCUGGAU
rnacentral:hammerhead_ribozyme from 1 species